UGGUUAGAGGAUUGGUGUAAAAUCAAGUCUGAAAAAGGGCAAAAGAACAGUAAAAAGGGUAAUUUUUUAUUAAAGGAAAAUUUACAAACUUGUUAUCAGACAGUAUAUUUUAAAACCUGUUUCCAAAAAAAAAAGUCCAAUCAGAUCCUCAUAAUAGUGUUUAGAAGCCAGGAUUUAUAUGUCAGGCUAAGAAACAGGAGGCCUGUGAUUUGUCAAAAGAUAAAAUGCCUCUAUCAGAUUGGAGGACCUUUGCUCCUUUCUGGCAUUUUAACUCUCCUUGCAUUCUUGAUCUUGCGGGCUGUUGUGCUGGCAGAUGCUAUUCCUCAGCAGAGUGGUGGGUUAACCAGAAAAAAAAACAACUUUUAAGGUGGGUCUUACUCGUACUUUUAAAAUGCACAUUUAUUGCAUGUGUUCUAAUGGGCCAUUGGGUGUAAAAGAUCGCUCACAAAGUUAGGUUACUUUGUCCCGAUGUUACCUGAUGCUGCUUUGCAUCAGUUUCUCCUGCUAGGGACCUACAUGCCAUUGGGAUUUAACUAACCCUUGGAAUUUCUGUAAAGCAUGCAUUGAUGUCUGAUAACAGCCAGACACUGAGCUGUAAUGGAUAACUCCUUCUUCGAUUGGUGGCUGUGUUUGGCCAGGUCACAAUGGGGCAGAAUUGAAACGAAAAGGACUGAGAACAUCCAUCUCAGCGGUUUGUGAUGUUGUCUAACUGGACAGACUGGAAAAUCUCCUAAACAGAGGAGGAAGAGAAGCCAACCUGUUGUCAGCUUACCUGACUUGGUGCACACUGCUACUUUGCUGACUGCGCUACUUUUAACAAACAGAACAUUGAAAAGCAAGAAUAGGACAGAAUCCGUUUCCAGAUGGUCUUCUGAUGUUUUCACAUAUGGAAAGAUAACACUGGCCAACGCACAUUUUGGUGCCUCAAAUCGCAUCUCCCACAUUCUAGGAUUGCAAGAGUAAAGUGUGAUGGACAACAAGCAAGAACACAGUUACAGAUUCCUAAACCGCUUGCCAACAACACCAAACACACACACAGCCCUCCCUUUUCAGGCAGGAACACCUUUUGACGUGUUCCUGAGAAGAACAACAACGGCUUCUAUAACAAACAGUACACUCCCUAAAACAUCCGGACCUCGGUAUCUCUCUUCAAAGACAAGGCAGCAGAGAAUCAGAGAUCCCUUUGGCCUCCAUACUCGGAAUUCAACGGAAGCACAACACUCACCAAAGCUGCCAGAAAUCUGCUACCUUGAACUUCUGGGAAGAUAUCAGAAGCAAAGAGAGCCAUGGUGACCGCAAUUCCAAAGUUCGUAUCAGUGUGAUAGCUUUAUUACAGCAACUAAAAAGUCCCGGACCUUUUGACUGGCCAACACUGUCAUUGUAUCAUAAUAAUAUAUCGAGUUACAAGCAGCUC